AGACAGGUAGACAGACAGGUAGACAGACAGGCAGACAGACAGACAGACAGACAGGUAGAGAGAGAGACAAGCAGACAGACAGGCAGACAGACAGGCAGACAGACAGGCAGGCAGAUAGACAGACAGACAGAUAGACAGACAGGCAGAUAGACAGGCAGGCAGAUAGACAGACAGACAGACAAGCAGACAGACAGACAGGCAGAUAGACAGGCAGACAGACAGACAGACAGACAGACAGGUAGAGAGAGAGACAAGCAGACAGACAGGCAGAUAGACAGGCAGACAGACAGACAGAUAGACAGGCAGGCAGAUAGACAGACAGGCAGGCAGAUAGACAGACAGGCAGACAGACAGACAGACAGACAGACAGGCAGGUAGACAGACAGACAGACAGAGAGACAGACAGGCAGGCAGACAGACAGGCAGACAGACAGACAGGCAGACAGACAGACAGACAGGCAGGCAGACAGACAGACAGACAGACAGGUAGACAGACAGGUAGACAGACAGGCAGGCAGACAGACAGACAGACAGGCAGACAGACAGACAGACAGACAGGUAGAGAGAGAGACAAGCAGACAGACAGGCAGACAGACAGGCAGGCAGAUAGACAGACAGACAGAUAGACAGACAGGCAGGUAGACAGACAGACAGACAGACAGACAGACAGACAGGCAGAGAGACAGACAGGUAGGUAGGUGGUUAGAUGUUUGUGUACUCAGGGUUUCUCAUGUGUGAGCUGUUCUGGACUUUGUUCCUGUUUGAACACGUCUGAUUAAACUUCACUUGACAAAUAACACAAAACAUUAAACUGCUGCUACUGCUACGUUUAUCCAGAAAGUUAGAAAGUUAGAGGGUUAGACCAGAUUAACCAGACCAGAGUUAAACUAAUAAACCAAACAAGACAGAAAAUAAGACUUAUUAUCUAAAGUAUGGAAGAUGAAAUCCAGCACAGAUAAAUCAAUCUCAUCAUCAAUCAUCUGUUCUGGUGGAGCUUGGUUAAG